AGUGAACGCUGGCGGUAGGCCUAACACAUGCAAGUCGAACGGCAGCACAGUAAGAGCUUGCUCUUACGGGUGGCGAGUGGCGGACGGGUGAGGAAUACAUCGGAAUCUACUUUUUCGUGGGGGAUAACGUAGGGAAACUUACGCUAAUACCGCAUACGACCUACGGGUGAAAGCAGGGGAUCUUCGGACCUUUCGCGAUUGAAUGAGCCGAUGUCGGAUUAGCUAGUUGGCGGGGUAAAGGCCCACCAAGGCGACGAUCCGUAGCUGGUCUGAGAGGAUGAUCAGCCACACUGGAACUGAGACACGGUCCAGACUCCGACGGGAGGCAGCAGUGGGGAAUAUUGGACAAUGGGCGCAAGCCUGAUCCAGCCAUACCGCGUGGGUGAAGAAGGCCUUCGGGUUGUAAAGCCCUUUUGUUGGGAAAGAAAAGCAGCAGGUUAAUACCCCGCUGUUCUGACGGUACCCAAAGAAUAAGCACCGGCUAACUUCGU
rnacentral:rRNA from 1 species